UCCAAGAGCCAUGAGCACGAGCGACAGAGAGUGAACCUCACUUUCAUGUGAGGCACUUCUACCCUUCCUACCUGAAGCUCAUCUGGAUGAAAAAUGGGCACAAGAUCCUGGAGGAAUUCCCCAAGAACACAAGCAAUUCAGAUGGGAUGUACUCCCUUGACCACCUGCUGCUGGAGGAGGCCACAGUGGACGGGUGUGAGUUUGCCUGCUGGGUGGUCCAGGAUGACCAGGUCCCAGUCAAGGCAGUCAUCACUGUGCAGGCCUCUAACAAGAGAAGAGGAACGAUGUCCUCAUCAGAAGGGAUCUCUGACAACUUGGAAGGCCUGCAGCAGCAUUUUGAGCCAGGCACAAGCAUCCAACUGACAUACACAUUGUCCAGAUUACACAUAUGUCGUGUUACGGUGACCUGGCUCAUAAACAACCACAAACUCCCCAAACCCCAGACCAAGGUCCUUCAUAGUGGGGAUAUCUAUAAUUUCACCAGCACUGUGUCUGUCCCACUGAACAAAGAUAGUGUGUUUUCCUUUGUCCACUGUGAGGUCAAGCAGAAGUCCUUACUGAUUUUUCCAGAAAAACAUCAGCCGAGCCAGUAUCUCCUCGUGCCCCCUGCAGCAACAGUGUCCCAUUCUCCAGUCUCCUCUGGCUUGGUGGCCAUUACUUGCCAUAUGCAAAGAUUCUAUCCAGAAAAUGUACACCUCACCUGGCUGGAGGACUGCCACACACUCAAGGGAACUGAGGAACUUGUGUUCAAGAAGAAUACUGAUGGCGCCUAUACCAAGGAGAGCUCACAGUUGUUGAACACAUCAGUGCAAGGACCUGAGCGGGUGUUCACCUGUAGGGUGCAGCAAGAGAAACAGCCUUCCAUCCAGGCCAGCCUCAUAAUGCCCACAGCACCCCACACCAUACACAAAUCCACUCGGAGCUCAGGUCAAGAGACAUCUGCCUUAAUCUUUGUGAUCUUCCUCCUGGUCCAUAAGGUACUGCUUGUGGGAGUUUCACAGUCACCUACAUCUAUAAGUGGUGGAACCUGUGACAGUGCCUGCAUGCCCUGUGGUACAUUGAUUUCCACCCUCUUCCAAGGGCUAAAGUGGCGGACAGAAGCCUCAAAGACCUGGCUUUUGGGCUGAGUCAGAGAUGGACUUGGGAAUGUCUGGACCAUGAUGUACUGAACUUCAAAUUGGCUCUGCUUCCAUCCAGAGGAGAAUGAAAUUGAUUGGAAAAAUAGACAUCUGCUCUGCUCCAAUCACAAACAAUCCUUAAUUUUCAGAGGAAUUUCAUUUUCAUCCAGGCUUUAACACGUAGAAAAUUACAAAUUACUGAUUUCUUAUUGACUUCCUACAACUAAUGAUGGGAUUAUGAUGUCUCCAACUCAACCUUAUAUCAUAUGGGAAUAUCUAUUUCUCACCACCUUAAUAUGACCACAUUAUAAUUUGGGACAGCUUAAUAAUCAGUGUCUACAAUGUAACAACUACAUGAAUCUUAAAUAUGGCCAAGUCUGGUAACAUUUCCAGCUUUCACUAUGUUGAUUCUCUGAUAUGUAUGCCUGUGUAGCCACUGCCAUAACCAAGAUGAACAGUUCCAUGACAAUAAAAGCCUCCUCUUAUGGUUUGGAUAUGGAAUGUCCCUUAAAAGGCUCAUGCAUUCUGAGAUUGACUUUUGGAAGGUAAAAGGUGAUUGGAUCAUAGGGUUACUAUUGGAUCAUGUGGUAUGAUCCCAUUGAUGAAUCCAUAGCUGAAUGUGUUGUUUGGAGGUAGGCCUGAUCAGAAGAGGCAGUCACUGGUGGUGUGACCUGAAAGAUAUAUUUCCCACCCUGGCUACCCUUGGUCUCUGCUUCCUGGGUGCCAUAUGUGAGCAACUGUCCUCCACUGCACCCUUUCAUCAUUCCUUUCCUGCUUUAGGGGCAGCUUUGGACUGUGGACAAUGUCCUCUAAAAACCACAAGCCAAGAUAAAUCUCCCUCCCCUGUAAGUUAUAGGUGUUGAGUAUUGUGUAUUAGUGCCUAGAAAAGUGACCAAAAUGACUCCCUCAUGUUACCUUUUCACAGUAAGACCCACCCCUACUAUGUCAAACAUCUGGCAAAUGCUAAUCUCUUCUCUAUCUCUUGAGGAUGUUAUAUAAAUAGGAUCUACAGUAGGUGACAUUUUUAGUUUGACUUUUGUCACUCUGUAUAAUGCCUUUGAAAUCCUCACAAGUUAUUUCAUAUAUACUUUAUUCCUUUUUGUCACUGAGUAGUAUUCAUUGUGUGUAUGCAUAUAGCUUGCUUAGCCAUUCACUUAUAAGACACUUUAAAUUGUACUGUUUGGUUAUUACUAAGAAAUCUGGUACACUAGAACCCAUGAAUAUUAAUUCAUGUAUAGGUUUUUGUGAAUGUUUUUAUUUUUUUCUGGGAUAAAUACAUGGCAAUGCAAUUGUUGGAUCAUAUAAUAAAUACAUGUUUAGUUCUUUUUAAGAAGCUGCCAAGCUCUUU